AUUAUUUAUUAUUUAUAUCGUCAUAAAAAUGGUUAUUUUAUUGUAAAUAACACUUUUUGAAAAAAAUGUUAAGAGAAUGUCAUGUUAAAAGUAUUCUAUCAAUUAUGAAAAACUAGGAUUUACGAGAAAAAUUAGUUUUCUUGAUUUUGAAGUAAAUUACUCUAACCCAAGUAGGCUAUUAGUCACAUGAACAAAAACAAACACCAUAUAAAAUAAAUAAAUAAAUAAAAUGUUUGACAAUUUUCUUUCUUUUCUUUUAAGAUUAGUUUUAGGAAAAAGAAUUGAAAGAACCGGUUUAAUUCAUUUAGGCGAGAUAAGUUAGGUAAGAAAAUUACGAAUCGACCAAAUGUCGUGAUAAAAAUAAAAUGGUGAUGCUUUUUGGAAAUUUAUUUAGAUUAAUUAGUUAGUGUCCAAAUAAAUACAAAUAAGUAAGAAUAGAAAAUAAAGAAAGAGUAAAAAUUGGGUCCUUUUGGACCAUUGCUGGGCUGCCCAGCUCUUGGGCCUAAGUCCCAUAAAUUUCAGUCCAUUAUUUCAGUUAAUAUCAUAUGUAUACUAUGGCCCUUCGUCCUUUGCGUUUUUAUAUACAUACAGUGUAUAUAUGACUGUAUUUCAGUCAUUUAUACACAACUUUAGUCCCCCAACUGUAUCACCAUCUUCAUACCACCAGUAUACCAGCCCUCACACUGCGUAUAUCGCUGUAUACCAAUGCAAAAACAGUCCUCUUGGGACUUGGUCUUGAGGUUUUGACUCGAGGAAGUGGGGGUUUGGCCCCCGAAAUGCAAGGGGGAGGGUCCCGUUGAUCCAUGUAGUUCAUGCAUUGCAAAGAAAAGAAAAAGAUUAGUACGUGAUGCAAUGAAGAUCAAACCUUGGAUGGACAAAUAGAACAAAGAAACACGUCUAAUUAUAUGAUUUUAACAUUCCGUCCAAGACAGCCUCUAUGGAGUGCAUUCUCAUCAAAGAAGAUAAAUUUUAGCAAGGAACAUGAAUCACAAAAAGAAAACCAUACAAAGUGAAAUAUUAUCUCAGAUUGGAGCCACGACACAAUACUAUGAUUAAUAAUUAAUUAAUGCCACUUUUCAUAUAAAAAGAAAGGGUAAUAAACUUAGUCAUCACGCAUAACAAAUCAAACCAAAUUAGAAUAGCAUGGCUAUGUUAAUAAAUAUUUGAAAAGUCAAAGAGGGGUUUUUAUAAUUAAACAUAAAGUCUUAGUCAUUUUUUAUUGAAUCUAGCAGAGAGAAGCGACCAAAGUCAGGAUACACUUCAAACAAGAUAAGAACCUUCCCUUUUUUAGAAUUCCAACAAAGAAAACAAAUAGAAUAUUCCAGAUUAGAUAAGCGACCAAAGUCAGGAUACACUUCAAACAAGAUAAGAACCUUCCCUUUUUUAGAAUUCCAACAAAGAAAACAAAUAGAAUAUUCCAGAUUAGAUAACGUCUCAUGCUUUCGGCGACCAUAAGGAAAAAUAACAUCGGCAAGAGAACAAUUUUUCAGGCUUGUGUUUCCAGAGGAAUAGUUGAAUAACCAUGCUACAGUAUGGGUCUGCAUAAUCGAAAUCAUUCCAACUUCUACGCAAAUAAUAAAAUCAAGAAAAUUUUAUAUUAAUAAAUCGUGCAUUAUGAAGAUUGACAGAAAGGAACUACCUUUUCCUGGGCAGCGAAAAGAACAGGAUGAGCUCUAAGUGAUCGGAAUUCCACCGAAAUUUAAUUGUUUGUGCAGGUGGUUCAAUUUCAACUUCAUCGGGAUUGAUUUUUCGAUGAAAUUUCUUCUUGAAUUCUUUGGUUACGUGGGAUUAGAGGACCGCUCCUCCCGAAUCUCCAAUUUUUCGCCAAAGAAUCCUCUCCCUUUUCUCUCUUCCUUCAACCUCUAUUUAUAGGGGAAAAGUUUUGGGAUUUUCAGACUUGAAAACUGAAAUUCAAGUGAUUUCUUCAGAAAUUUUGAAAUCCACUUUGGGACAAAAAGAAGAGUCGUUGAGCAUUAAUUGCUUACCCAAAAUGGUGAAUUAAAGACUGAGAAAGAUGAAAGUUAUCUGAUUUUAGCCAUAAAUGGCUGUACAAUGAGGGAAAAAUGGUAAAAAAAAGCGUAUGGGUUUUGCCGUGGUUGACUGGCCGUGACGCCGUUUUUGGCUGUGGGUUAGGGACGUUUGGUCACUGUUUUGCUUUUGUACGCCGUUGUUGUACUGUUGUCAUUGUUUGAUGAUGAGGAAAAAGGAAAAGAAAGGAGGUGGGCCGGGUUGAUUGUUAUGAUGUUGGGCUAGGCUGAAAUAGAGUGGGUUGGUGGGUGUUUGUGGAGCUGGUUGGGUUGUAAGGUGCUAUUGGGUCAGCUGGUGAGUAAUUGGGCUGGGAAGUUGUUGUUUGCUGGGCCUGGGCGGGCAAUUUGGUUAAAAGGGAAAUGGGUUGGUUAGGGAACCAAUUAAAAAUUGUAACCAUUCCAUAUAAAUAAGAAUGACCACAAUUGAAUAGAUUGGACGAAAUUAACUUUUAAUUAAUUUAACGAAUUUCUCAAAUUUAAUAACUUCAAAAUAAA
rnacentral:lncRNA from 1 species